rnacentral:rRNA from 1 species
GAUGAACGCUGGCGGCGUGCCUAAUACAUGCAAGUCGAGCGAAUGGAUUAAGAGCUUGCUCUUAUGAAGUUAGCGGCGGACGGGUGAGUAACACGUGGGUAACCUGCCCAUAAGACUGGGAUAACUCCGGGAAACCGGGGCUAAUACCGGACAACAUUUUGAACCGCAUGGUUCGAGAUUUAAAGGCGGCUUCUGCUGUCACGUAUGGAUGGACCCGCAUCGCAUUAGCUAGUUGGUGAGGUAACGGCUCACCAAGGCAACGAUGCGUAGCCGACUUGAGAGGGUGAUCGGCCACACUGGGACUGAGACACGGCCCAGACUCCUACGGGAGGCAGCAGUAGGGAAUCUUCCGCAAUGGACGAAAGUCUGACGGAGCAACGCCGCGUGAGUGAUGAAGGCUUUCGGGUCGUAAAACUCUGUUGUUAGGGAAGAACAAGUGCUAGUUGAAUAAGCUGACACCUUGACGGUACCUAACCAGAAAGCCACGGCUAACUACGUGCCAGCCGCCGCGGUAA